rnacentral:tRNA from 1 species
GCGCUCGUAGCUCAGUUGGAUAGAGCGCCGGACUACGAAUCCGUAGGUCGCAAGUUCGAAUCUUGCCGGGCGCGCCA